GAACGUAUGGCUUAGUGGUCGGAGCGUAUGGUCGGUUCCCAGGAGGCGCGGGUUUGAGUCCCGCUACGUUCA
rnacentral:tRNA from 1 species